rnacentral:piRNA from 1 species
UAGAUGGGACCCAUUGCUUACAGAAAGUGA